GACGAACGCUGGCGGCGUGCUUAACACAUGCAAGUCGAACGGAAAGGCCCUGCUUUUGUGGGGUGCUCGAGUGGCGAACGGGUGAGUAACACGUGAGUAACCUGCCCUUGACUUUGGGAUAACUUCAGGAAACUGGGGCUAAUACCGGAUAGGAGCUCCUGCUGCAUGGUGGGGGUUGGAAAGUUUCGGCGGUUGGGGAUGGACUGGCGGCUUAUUAGCUUGUUGGUGGGGUAGUGGCUUACCAAGGCUUUGACGGGUAGCCGGCCUGAGAGGUUGACCGGCCACAUGGGGACUAAGAUACGGCCCAGACUCCAACGGGAGGCAGCAGGGGGGAAUAUUGCACAAUGGGCGGAAGCCUGAUGCAGCAACGCCGCGUGCGGGAUGACGGCCUUCGGGUUGUAAACCGCAUUCGCCUGUGACGAAGCGGGAGUGACGGUAAUGGGUAAAGAAGCACCGGCUAACUACGUG
rnacentral:rRNA from 1 species